rnacentral:rRNA from 1 species
CAAGUCGAGGGGCAGCAGGUCCGUAGCAAUACGGAUGCUGGCGACCGGCAAACGGGUGCGGAACACGUACAGAACCUUCCUUCGAGCGGGGAAUAGCCCGGAGAAAUCCGGAUUAAUACCCCAUAGUAUGGUGAAGAGGCAUCUCUUUACUAUUAAAGAUUUAUCACUUGAAGAUGGCUGUGCGGCUGAUUAGGUAGUUGGCGGGGUAACGGCCCACCAAGCCUGCGAACAGUAACUGGUGUGAGAGCACGACCAGUCACACGGGCACUGAGACACGGGCCCGACUCCUACGGGAGGCAGCAGUAAGGAAUAUUGGUCAAUGGACGAAAGUCUGAACCAGCCAUGCCGCGUGGAGGAUGAAGGUCCUCUGGAUUGUAAACUUCUUUUAUAUGGGACGAAAAAAGGCCUUUCCAGGUCGUCUGACGGUACCAUAUGAAUAAGCACCGGCUAACUCCGUGCCAGCAGCCGCGGUAAUACGGAGGGUGCAAGCGUUAUCCGGAUUCACUGGGUUUAAAGGGUGCGUAGGUGGGUUGAUAAGUCAGUGGUGAAAUCCCCGAGCUUAACUUGGGAACUGCCAUUGAUACUAUUGAUCUUGAAUACCGUGGAGGUCAGCGGAAUAUGUCAUGUAGCGGUGAAAUGCUUAGAUAUGACAUAGAACACCAAUUGCGAAGGCAGCUGGCUACGCGAAUAUUGACACUGAUGCACGAAAGCGUGGGGAUCAAACAGGAUUAGAUACCCUGGUAGUCCACGCCCUAAACUAUGGAUACUCGACAUCAGCGAUACACUGUUGGUGUCUGAGCGAAAGCAUUAAGUAUCCCACCUGGGAAGUACGAUCGCAAGAUU